rnacentral:misc_RNA from 1 species
AACGCACAUUGCGCCCGCUAGUAUUCUGGCGGGCAUGCCUGUUCGAGCGUCAUUUCAACCAUCAAGCCCCAGGCUUGCGUUGGAGCCCUGCGGCUGCCGCAGGCUCCCAAAUCCAGUGGCGGGCUCGUCGUCGUACCGAGUGCAGUAAACAUCCUCGCUCAGGGAACGCGUCGGGUUCUUGCCGUGAAACCCCCCCUAUAUCAAGGUUGACCUCGGAUCAGGUAGGAAUACCCGCUGAACUUAA